rnacentral:rRNA from 1 species
UACGUAGGGUCCGAGCGUUGUCCGGAAUUAUUGGGCGUAAAGGACUCGUAGGCGGUUUGUCGCGUCGGGAGUGAAAACCCAGGGCUUAACCCUGGGCUGGCUUCCGAUACGGGCAGACUAGAGGUAUGCAGGGGAGAACGGAAUUCCUGGUGUAGCGGUGAAAUGCGCAGAUAUCAGGAGGAACACCGGUGGCGAAGGCGGAUCUCUGGGCCUUACCUGACGCUGAGGCGCGAAAGCUAGGGGAGCGAACAGG